GAGCAACUCCAACCAUUAUGCAAAUGGACUUGGCAUUUACCAAAAUGCAUAAAACUCCAAAAAAAAUCCCCUCCAAUCGUUAUGCAUUUGGACUUUGCAUUUUACAUAGCUAUGCAUUUGGAGGGGGAAACUUGGCAUAUAUGUCAAAGGAGUCCGGCUAUGCAAAUAGAGAUCACGGGAUUCUCGGUUCCACCUCGCAGGCUUUUUUCUUCCCUUCGCACGGUUUCCCUUCGUGCCGCCACCACUUCGCGCGAUAGGAGAAGCAUCGCGCGUCCUCCUUCGCCAGCUUGACUGAUGGCGGCGACUUGAUGGAGAUCGGUACUGGAGCCAAGGGGCGAACCUGUACGACGACGAACUGAUGGUCAACAGGCGACGAACUGAUACGGUAAACGGGAACUAACGGAACGGGAGAUCGGUACUGCGAUCGGUACUGCGAACGGGAACGAUGAACUGCGCAGCUCACGAUCGGUAUUACGCGGCUGUUUGGCGCGGGAAUUGGUGAAAGGGAGACGACGGCGGGCUGUUUGGUGCGGGAUCAAUUGGCCGCGCGGGAAGGAGUGCCGCGAAACAAAAUUUUCAGGAAAAAAAAGAUGAUGGACUUGGCAUUUUGCAUAACGGUUGGAGAUCACCCGAUUUUAGCCUUGCCAUUUUCAUUUGGGGGUUUGCAAUUUGCCUAAAAUGCAU
rnacentral:lncRNA from 1 species